UUAGCAUUUGUGGUGAAGUUCUGUUAUACACUCAGGCUGUGAGUAUGUGGAAGUCAGUGCAUCACAGAACUUUGUCUCGGGGGCUUU